CCCGAGGGCUGGCGCUCAGGCCCAAUCUCGCGAGAGCUGGGCCUUGAGCGGCCGCGCCGGAACUGCGGCGGCGAGACUUGGCCCCGCGGCCCUGGCUCGCCGGGCUGUUGGGACGUCCUCCUCCGUGCGGGAAUCCGCUGUGCCCGCUCGUCCGCACCUCUGCCCCAGCCACGCCUCUACGGCCGGUCAGGUGGCUUAUUGAACGCCUGCGUUAGGUGCCAGGCCACGGAGUUGGAGCUGGGGACGCGGAAAUCAGUUAGUCGUGGCUGCUGGCUUCAAGGAACGCCCGUCCUAGCGAAGGAGAGAGACUUGUACAGACGGUGCGAUUAGGGUUUUAAGAGAGGUGUGGCCCGAAGGCUGCUGUGACCCAGUUGAGGGGGUGGUCAGAGACAGCCGCGAAAGGAAUCGGAGCAGUGCUUCGAGGGGUAGGAGUGCUUUGCGGGGAAGCAGAGGCCUUUCUAGGCAAAGACGCGGGCGGUGGAGAGUACGUGGUGUAGUGGAGCAGUGAGUGGCGAGUCCAGAGAAGGGGUCAUAAACCCAGAUGCCGACGGUGGUGGCGUAUAAAUCAUCUUAUGCAGGCUGGGCACAAGGAAACGAUGGGAGGCGCUAAGCAUGAACGAGGGAGCGAUCAUUUUCUCUGAAAGGAACGAUGGAUACUCAACAUCCGGCCAGUUUCCCUGGGAGAAGGAGCGCCCGGUGUUGAUUAUCUUCGCGCUUUCCAGGAAAAUACAGAAGUCUUGAUGAAACAUACAGCAAAGCCAGAGAAAGGUCCGCGGGAGGAGGUGAAAGUGAUCUCACAGAAGGAUUGAGAACAAGAUGAAAACGUUAUGAUGCUUCACACUGAGCUGUUAAAAGGAAAUAUAAUUAUCAGCACUGCACCUGAAACUUUUAAUUGGGAACGCAGAGGAAAAGGAGAUCCUUCCACAAAAUAGCCAUGGAUGCUGUUGCCAGAUGUCCUGUCCUGCAUUAAAUGAUCCAUGAGUCUGAUCUGCCUGCUUGUUGAAACCUGGUUUUUGAAACAGCUUUAUUGAGAUAUAAUCCGCAUACAAUUCACGAAGUGCGAGGGGAAGGAGGAAGGUUGGAAAUCACUCAGCUCAGAAUCUGCAGUGGAAUUGCUACAGUCGACUCAAACAUGAUUUGAACAUCCCUAGCUGUGGGAUUUGGUGACCAGGCUCCUGAGGGAGGAUGACACAGCAUAGGGAAUGGCACGGACAGCCUGCCUUGCUUUACAGAGAGCAGAGAUACAAAGUCCUUGUCGAGGUCACCGGUGCUGAGAAUACUCUUAAUGUAAAUGGACUUGGGUGACUUCCUUACGUGGAGCAAAUUUUCUCGAAGUAAUUCCGGAGUUGAGGUACUUUACGAAGUUUGAAACGAAUGCUAUUGACUUAAGCUGCCUUUUGGACUGUGGGAGCCCAUCAGCUCAUCGGUUCCAGGCUCAGAGGGCAGAGGCUGGAAGCUACUGGUGGAGUCCUACCUCUCCCCUGCUGCACCCCAGCAAAAGUUCCCUUUCAGGGCUUCAGCCUUGUAGGGCCCUCUCCCAACUCUUACAUGGGGCCUAGACUGUGCCAGCUGCUAUUCUAAGAACUUUAAAUACAACCAUUCACUGAGUACAACAAUCCCAGGGUGGAGUUGUCAUUAUUAUUCCCAUGUAACAGAUGAGAACACUGAGGCACAGGGAGAUUAUGUGACCUGCUCACGGAACUAGGUGUGAAUGCAGAAAUCUGCCUCCAGAGGUGGGGGUGGCUGUGAAUCACCAGAAAAUACUCCCUUUCUAAUCAAGUGACUAAUUGCCCACCUCUGAAAACCCAGCUCACUGAAAAGUAUUAACAGGUCAAAAUGACAUUCAUUACUAUUCUAAUGUUUUCAUAAAUCCUAACUCCGCAGGAACCUCAGUAUUUGUGAUUUCAGACUGGUUUGAAAGGGCCUUGCAUUUUGGAGGGAGGGUGCCCUUCAUUUAACCCCGUCCGAUUAUCCUUCUCUGGGGAGAAAGACUCUCGGGAGUCUCUUACUAAGGAGGAUGGUGUUUCCAAGAGAGGAAAUAUUUAGAGCUAGCUGCUGACAUAUUUUGGCAAACGGGAGGGGGAAAUUUUUUCAUCUGGGAAAAACACAAGUUUUUAGCCUGAAUAAUGGGCAAACGACAUUAACUCUUUGCUUCAUCUUUUUAUUUUAUUUUAUUUUAUUUUUAAA